rnacentral:rRNA from 1 species
UACGAAGGGUGCAAGCGUUACUCGGAAUUACUGGGCGUAAAGCGUGCGUAGGCGGUUUGUUAAGUCUGUCGUGAAAGCCCCGGGCUCAACCUGGGAAUGGCGAUGGAUACUGGCGAGCUAGAGUACGGUAGAGGAGAGUGGAAUUCCCGGUGUAGCAGUGAAAUGCGUAGAGAUCGGGAGGAACAUCAGUUGCGAAGGCGGCUCUCUGGACCAGUACUGACGCUGAGGCACGAAAGCGUGGGGAGCAAACAGGG